rnacentral:rRNA from 1 species
CGGAGGAUCCAAGCGUUAUCCGGAUUUAUGGGUUUAAAGGGUGCGUAGGCGGCUUAUUAAGUCAGGGGUGAAAGACGGUGGCUCAACCAUCGCAGUGCCCUUGAUACUGAUGAGCUUGAAUACACUUGAGGUAGGCGGAAUGUGACAAGUAGCGGUGAAAUGCAUAGAUAUGUCACAGAACACCAAUUGCGAAGGCAGCUUACUAAGGUGCAAUUGGCGCUGAGGCACGAAAGCGUGGGGAUCAAACAGGAUUAGAUACCCUGGUAGUCCACGCCCUAAACGAUGAAUACUCGAUGUUAGCGAUAUACAGUUAGCGUCUAAGCGAAAGCGUUAAGUAUUCCACCUGGGGAGUACGCCCGCAAGGGUG